rnacentral:pre_miRNA from 1 species
UUGAAGGAUUUUAAGACUUCAAAUUACAUACUUGAAAGAUUUAAAGGCUUCAACUUGCAUACUUAAAGGAUUUGAAAACUUCAACU